AGUAACACGUGGGUAACCUGCCCAUCAGAGGGGGAUAACAUUCGGAAACGGAUGCUAAAACCGCAUAGGUCUUCAACCGCAUGGUUUGAAGAGGAAAAGAGGCGCAAGCUUCUGCUGAUGGAUGGACCCGCGGUGCAUUAGCUAGUUGGUGAGGUAACGGCCCACCAAGGCCGUGAUGCAUAGCCGACCUGAGAGGGUGAUCGGCCACAUUGGGACUGAGACACGGCCCAA
rnacentral:rRNA from 1 species